rnacentral:rRNA from 1 species
GGGUCAGUAAGCUGGUCGUGCCACCGGUACGUACUGGUCUCACUGAUUCCUCCUUCCUGAAGAACCGUAAUGCCAUUAAUUUGGUGUUGCGGGGAAACAGGACCGUUACUUUGAAAAAAUUAGAGUGUUUAAAGCAAGCUAACGCUUGAAUACAUUAGCAUGGAAUAAUGAAAUAGGACGAUCGGUCCUAUUUUGUUGGUUUCUAGGAUUGACGUA